AUUCCAGCUCCAAUAGCGUAUACUAAAGUUGUUGCAGUUAAAAAGCUCGUAGUUGGAUUUCUAAUCUCUCUUGGGGUUCCUUUUCUAAAGAAAUGUGCGACCAUUCAAGAGAGAUUAUCCUCGUGCCUAGCCUUUCUCACUUUCAUUAGUCAGGAAGGGGACGCACGUCAUUUACUGUGAGCAAAAUAGAGUGUUCAAAGCAGGCUUAGGCCAUGAAUAUAUUAGCAUGGAAUAAUAAGAUAGGACCUUGGUCUAUUUUGUUGGUUUACAUUCCAUGGUAAUGAUUAAUAGGGAUAGUUGGGGGUAUUCGUAUUCAAUUGUCAGAGGUGAAAUUCUUGGAUUUAUGGAAGACGAACUACUGCGAAAGCAUUUACCAAGGAUGUUUUCAUUG
rnacentral:rRNA from 1 species